UGUAUUCUGUAUGUUGGCUGGUGUUCAAAGUUUAGAAUAUUUCAGGAAGUCAGCCAACUGAUUAAAAAUGUUAAAUCCUCAUCAUGAAUUUUUCAACUCAUCUGUAAAACUGAGUCAGUCAUUUAUUAGAAUAAUGACUAAAUCAUAAGGAAAAUUAAGCUUCAUAAUCACACCAAUAAGGAGUUAUUAUUUUCCCCCAAGGAGUGUAUAUACAGAUAAAGAGGCAGUUCUACUGCAUCAAGAAUUCAGAACCCAUAUCUAUGAAAGAGAAUUACUUGGGCUACAAAACAGACAAAAUAAACUAAUCUGACUGAAGCGUCUGACUGAAGCUCAUAUUAAAUAAUCCUGAGAUGCCUGUUUUUCAUCAGACUGGCUGACAGGGAAGCAUGAUAUAGCUUGCCUCAUCUGAGGAGUUGAAGAAAGAGAAUCUAAGCUGCAGAAACGAAACCGAAACCAGGAUCUUUGGUGCAACGUGACAAAAUGAGGCAGAGAGAUUUAUUUUUAUUUUUAUUUUUCCUCCCCAAAAAAGGUAGGUGAAAAACUGCAAACAAUGGGAAAUUUAGGAGGAGAGUUCAAGAUUUUAAAACACAAAAGAAAAAAAAGCUGUAUUUAACUAGGGAAUUGUAAUAAUUGAGAUACUAUUAAUUGUAUAUUGUGUUGAAAGCAGAAAUGGUUAAGUUGUGGUUCAGAGGAAUAUAUGGGAGAAAUUAUUUGGUUUAUUAUUAUUGGUAAAUAUAAUUAAUUGAUUUGUAAGAAAUUGGAUUGCAUGGAAAUAAUUGGAAUAUUCAUGUUCAUAUUGAUUAAUAUACAAAAAGAUAGUUUUAUAACUAAUUGAUUUAUAUUAAAAUGUUGAAUUUGUAUUAAACAACUGUAUUACAUAAUUACAUAAUUAAACAAUGUGAGGAUGGAUAUAAAAAUAGAUGACAAUGGGAAGGGGUAUAAUAUAGAAUAGAAGGGAAAAAUUGAAUUUGAUUAAGAUUAGAGAUGAGGAUGAAGGGUAAUAUUGUUUUUUUAAAAAAAUAGAUGAAUAAAUAUGGCAAAAAGGAAAUAUAGAAAUUGUAAAUUUAAUUGAAAUGACUAAACACUGUUUAAAUUUGUGAACCAGCCAAAUAUUCUGUUCAAAGAAAAUACAUUGUAUGUUUGUA